rnacentral:rRNA from 1 species
UACGAGGGGGGCAAGCGUUGUUCGGAAUUAUUGGGCGUAAAGGGUGCGUAGGCGGUUUUGUAAGUCUUGUGUGAAAUCUUCAGGCUCAACUUGAAGACUGCACGAGAAACUGCAGGGCUUGAGUGUGGGAGAGGUGAGUGGAAUUCCUGGUGUAGCGGUGAAAUGCGCAGAUAUCAGGAGGAACACCGAUGGCGAAGGCAGGUCUCUGGGCCGAUACUGACGCUGAGGAGCGAAAGCGUGGGGAGCGAACAGG